UCUACCAGUUCCCUUAUGAUCACCGAAGUUAAGCAAUGUCGAGCCUGAUCAAAACCUAGAUGGGUGACCACUAGGGAAUACCAGGUGCUGCAAG